CAGCAGCCACGGUAAUACGAAGGGGGCUAGCGUUGUUCGGAUUUACUGGGCGUAAAGCGCACGUAGGCGGACUUUUAAGUCAGGGGUGAAAUCCCGGGGCUCAACCCCGGAACUGCCUUUGAUACUGGGAGUCUUGAGUUCGAGAGAGGUGAGUGGAAUUGCGAGUGUAGAGGUGAAAUUCGUAGAUAUUCGCAGGAACACCAGUGGCGAAGGCGGCUCACUGGCUCGAUACUGACGCUGAGGUGCGAAAGCGUGGGGAGCAAACAGGAUUAGAUACCCGAGUAGUCCCUGUCUCUUAUAC
rnacentral:rRNA from 1 species